CAGCAAAGCUUUUAUUUUCUCUGCAUAAUCUUGAAUUCUGAUGAUGGAGCAUGAAAACAGUAAUCUAAUUACAUUUCUUGGAAGUUUGGCAGCUACACAAAACGUUUUUUUUUACUUACAAAAUAUAUUUGAUCAAAAAAUCAUUGGUGCCCAAUAAACAAGAAACUGCAGUAUCAUUUUAUAGUCACUUUUCAGAGCAUAACAGUUAAUCUAACUAUAGUUACGCUGGUACUGUAUAAUAUAAAAUGUGUUUUAUUCACUUUCCAGCAAGAUAGGGGUAGGGUUAUCUUCAACUUUGUAUUUUUAUGACUUUUAAGGCAUUUGUGCUGUAAACUGCAUGCGAUUCACUAUAAAAGCUUUUAUUUCCUUUCAGUUCUCAUGGUCACUACCUCCUGAAUGGUUACUGCAGCAGCAUCUAUCCUCACACAGGAUUCCAUUAUCAAAGUACUCCACAAACACAUCUCUUGAAUAUACACACUCUGGAAAGUGGUAAAUGGGCAUUUGUCAAUACAUCUGAUUGCAACCACCGCCUGAAGACGGAGAUCCUUUAGCAAGAGGCCCGAGAACUUGAUGCUUUGGUUUUUCCUUUUGGGACUGCAGAGAAAAAACAGCAUCUGGUGUUUGAGGAUGCUGGGGAUUUACACCAUAUUAUGUGUAAUAUCUGUACUGUAAAUAAACAAAAUGAAUAAUUAAGUGAAUAACGAGGUGUCCUGAAUUAUGACUUCUCUGGCUGCAUCUAUGGAAAAUCAAAGGGACACAUGAAGGAGAUUCAGGCACAGGAGGAAAAAAAAAAGGAAGAAGCUCAGGAGAAGCAGGCUACCACCAGUAGCUGAAUGGGUGGAUCUCCGAAGAGGCCUGAGUCGCUUCAAUGGCUUUUCAGUACAGAUAAGUUACAGUUUUUUCUGCUCUGGCGCAUCCUCUGAAGGCUGAGAUGAAAGACAUGAUUCACUAGACUAAGACAUAUCCUGAAUCAAGAUGCCAGCCCCCUCCUGCACCCCACGCUCCAGAGGCUGGUCUGCUGAAUGAUGGCUGUAUCUGCCCCGAGGACACUGUGAGCCCCACUCCCAGGGUGAGAGGAGAAUGAUGGCAAAAGAAUUUGGUAUAUCCUUGCUCCCACCUUCCUGUUCUUGAAAGCACAGGACAUCUGUGGGAGGAUUAUCUCUGGAGGCCUUGAUGGAGAGUACCAACCAGUCUUCAUGUGAAGACACUCUGCGUUCCUCAGCACUUACCCGUGAUCUGCAUCCUUGACUAAUCAUCUCCUUGCGGAGAUGCCAGUGGAAGUGAUUGAGACAAAGGGGCGUAGCAUCAUCUUGAUGCUGAAGAGCUUUCAGAGGAGGUAAGUGUGUGACUUCCCAGCAGAGCAAGUGGAGAAUAAGCAGCUGAAAAAUCUUUCUUCAUUUCUAAGAAAAACAGGAAUGGCCAGGCCAUUGCCGAGUGCUGACAUGUUUGUAUUGUUUGUGUUGCAUUGUUUUGUAAUCAAAAGUCAGUAUUUAUUGGACUAUACUCUCAAAAGGUCUCAUCUCAAAAUACUCUCAUAUCAGAAUCUGUGAUAAGACUAAAAACCCUGAUGGAAACUUAGCCCCAGCAAUUUUUUUUUCUGACAUCAGCUCUUCCGUGCCUUAAAGUAUAACCCCAAAGCCCUGAGCUCUCCACUAAGGAGGCUGGAUGUGGGAGCCAGCCAGCAGAGCCUGCUGCGUCCAAGCCCUCUUUGUAAGAGAGGUGGCUGUGGCUCUGGACAGUCUCUGGACUGCCUCCUUCCUUCUGCCUGCAGAGCACAGCCAUGGCCUCUCAGAAAGCUGCUGCUGGUGCCUGUCCUUGCCCUGUGGCUACACCAGCCUAGGGAGACCCUUCCAUGCAUCUUGCAUGCAUGGUAUAGCAGAUAAGCCACAAAUAGUUUGUGCCUACUUCAGUAAGUAGCUCACCGAUGUAGCAUACCAUUGUAAUGGAGAAAAAACCCUAAUUCCAUUAAAUUGGAUGUUAGGCAUAAUAGCUGGACCCUUAAGGUUAAAGAAAUCCGAUCCAUUCAGGUGGCACAGAACAGCCUUCAGUGCAUUGCACAGCCUAAGGAGAGAGCAGAGUGUUGCCCACUGUAUUUACUAUCAUGUUUGUUUUGGGAGCUAAAUUAUUCUUACUAAUUCUGCUAGCAGUGUAAUACGCUGUCUCAGUAAUGGAAAGCAUAUGAAAGCAAGCAGAUGGCGAGAGCAGAAAAAACCCAAGCAUGUCCUGAUAAUGUAGUAAGCAAGUUCAUUUUUUUGGCAUUAGGCUUUCAUAACCGAGGCAUGGUGAUAACAAGUACAGACACAUUUUUAAAGCGCAGUUCAUCAAAAAAUAUAGCCAGUUUCAUUGCAGAGCAAUGGAAGAUUACUUUGAGACUUUUAUAUAGAUAAAAGCUAGAUGUGAAUGUUGUUGAAUUAGACCCAUCAUUUAUUAUUGCUGGCAGAUGAGUGACAGCAGAUACUGGUCAGAGUGAUGCCAUCGCAGUCCUGUGAUCGCACGUAUCUUCACGAAUGUAGAGUUUCUCACCCGUUCACUUGCAAAUAUGUAGCCACCCUGUAUGCCAGAAAAACCACAGGCACUUUGAUACAGGGUGUUAUCGCAGUGGGCAGUAUUGGAAAUUCCAAGUAUUUUAUUUUGCUUCUAAAGCUUUCAGUCUCUGGUUGGAAGUUGUGAAGCUCAAGGCUGCUGCUGCUUCAAUAUCUGCGUAUCUGCAGCACGUGUGGAUCCCACCUGGUUUGGCCCCAUUCCCUGCGAGGAGGGCACUGCAUGGGGAGUGCUCAGCAUGUCUAGAGAAGAGUGGCCUCGCCUCUCUGCUGAAGCAAACAGUCCUGGCAUGGAGUUUUGGGGGGGAGGAGGCGGUGGAAGUAACUUGACUACCUCCAACCCACAUUUUUUUUGUUGUUUUUUUUUUGUCUCUCAGGCCAAGAUAUGGGCAGAAGCAAGGCCAGAUUCACUGUUUACACAAUCUAUCACUUUAAGGUUCUUCAGAGAAGGGAUACAUUAAUUUUUGUUAUGAUUUCACUUUGAAGCAGCGCAGCUGCAUCUUUGUGUGACAUGUCAAGUGGCUCCAGCCGUGCAUUGUGAGAUGGGGCUGCAAGCAAAGCCCUGCCCUCAGCUUCCAGGAGUUUGGUUCAGAGAGAGCAAGGGAGGAGGAGCUGCCAAUGCUGCUGUGUGGGGAGCAAGUGCCAGUUCAGGGAGUGAACAGAACUGAGCAGUGAUCUCUUCUGCAGGGAAGGGGUGAGGAGAGACGGCCCCCUUUCUCAUGAAACCAUGUAAUUGGUUAUAAUGCUCAUUUUUCACCAUUCAAUAGCACAGCGUGUUAAGUAAUGAAAGUUUUUAAAUAUUUCAUAUGCAUCUGGUUCGUUCCUGAUUUGAAGAAACAAAGGCAAGAAAGCCUUUCUGAUUGCUUGCUCCCUCUGAGGGCCUUGCUCUUGCUGCUUCCUGAGGAAAGUUGUCUCCCUUUAUCUUUUUUUAGCAAUGGAUGCUGAUUUAACCUCCCAGGAAAUCAUGUCUUUUCUUCUGUGUUGCUUUUAGUAUCUCCAGGAAGUGGCAGGUGGCACCACUCAGGAGAUGACUUUGAUGGCCCCAUGUCCUCUCUGUUUCAUUACCCAGGCAGGAGGUGGGACUGCUGUUACACCUUGUUCCCAGCUGUUUUCUGCUCCCAAGGCUGUGCCACCCAUCUCGUUGCUGUGGCUUUCUCUUGUGGGGCCUGGGGACAGAUGCAGAAGCCAGGUGACACGGAUGCUUUGCUGCCAGCGCGGGGCCUGAGGCUGUAUCCUGGUGGAGCCUGGGCAGGGGCUGAUCGGCUCAGGAGAGAUGGGAUGGGACAGGGUCUGCCCUAAUGCUGAAGGCCCAGCUCAAACCUCUGGGGGCGGGAGACCCUGUGCUGAUAGCCAGAAGUCAGAGCACGUUGCUUCCUUCUGCUGUGGUGUCUCUGCCAUCUGCAAAUCCCUCCAGCAGCGGCACCCUGCCUCUGCCUUGUUCCCACUUUGUUUAGGCUAAAGCCAGUGGGUCUGUCUUCAAAGCAAAGUGCGGCUUUCCCUGUGGAAAAAUCUCACUCCUGACUUUUGCUCUGUCCCCACAUCAAGCCAGCUUUCAGUGCACUGCCUGUAAGCAACUGUUAUUUUUUGUGUUUGUCCUGCAGUGAGCCAUAGCGUUCUGUGUCACCAUACCUCUAGACAAGGCUGUGAAAGCAGUUGAGGACUUUUCCAACAACUGAUGCCUGCUGCUGCUGCUCACAGCCAGCACAAAGCCUUCCCACUGCCAGGCCUGCCUGCUCUGGGCUGCUGUGUUUAUUUCUGG
rnacentral:lncRNA from 1 species